AUACGGAGGGUGCAAGCGUUACCCGGAAUCACUGGGCGUAAAGCGCGCGCAGGCGGUCUUUUAAGUUGGAUGUGAAAGCCUACGGCUCAACCGUAGAACUGCAUCCAAAACUAUUAGACUAGAGUGUGGGAGAGGAAGAUGGAAUUAGUUGUGUAGGGGUAAAAUCCGUAGAGAUAACUAGGAAUACCAAAAGCGAAGGCAAUCUUCUGGAACACUACUGACGCUGAGGCGCGAAAGCGUGGGGAGCAAACAGGAUUAGAAACCCUUGUAGUCC
rnacentral:rRNA from 1 species